ACGGGAUUUACAUGAUCUGGACAAAUGUAAAAGUCAGUUAAUAACCAUCAUCAAUACUUUAUUAAUACAAUGCAAUAUUCUAUUAAAGUGAAUCAUAGGAAAUUAAGUUGGCUCCAUAUACAUAUGAAAAUAGCUUAACUUAAAUACAUAAAUUUACAAGUCUACAUUCACGCACACACAUUCACUGGCCCCAUGACGCACCUACAUAAAGGCCUUGCAUUCACUUUCCAUUGUAGGCGCACUUACAUAAAUGCCUUUACUGCUUUACUGAAUCCACUGCCUCAACCUGUUGCCUGGAAAGAUAUCACUCUUUCGCUCCUCUAAAGAAUACUUAGCAGAUACACAUUGUUAGAGGAAUGAAAUGGGCCAGGACUAAGAAUGAUUCAUGUCUUUACAGAAACACAAGAUACACAUACACAUUCAUCUACUUUUAAACCUCAAAAAAUUUGGACCUGUGUUGACUGGAGGUUUCUUGUUAGCUUCUAUUGCAGGCUCAACUAUGGCUAGUUGACAUUUUAAUUUAUCUAGUGCCUUUAAUCAUUCAAAUUUCUUUGGUUGGAAAUUGAUAUUAGCACAAUGAACAAAUUAAAAUAUAACACGCCUAACUCCUACAAGAGAAAGACGUUCAAGGUCCGAGAAGACCACCUUCAGAGAAGGCUGAAGAGUAACUUGAUCCUUUUGUUCAUCAAAAGGCACAAAACGAAUUAAUGAGGGCUAGGCCACCAAAAACUCGACACUAGUAUACUUUGGACACACACAUGGGAUAUUUAUAUAUGGGGAAUCAACAAUGACUGCUCCAGCUCGUUCUCAGCCAUCAAAACUUCAAAAACAUUGAAAAAAAACUGUCUGACCGUUAUCUUGAAACAUCAGGAGUAAGAGUACUUCGGGAUGUCGCAUGUAGCAGCUAUUUGGUUCAAUAGUUUGAAGCUUAAACAUUCAAAAGGAAUCAGAAACUAACUUAAGAAUUUGAAAAGUAUUUAGAAGUUUAAACCACUCCUUAUAUUUUAUCAUCCAUAUAGAUUUAUAGUUAGGAUAUAAAUGCAACAUAUUUGAAUGGAGUUUCACAAGAUUUAUCACAAAUUUUUGAACUGAAGAAAAAAGUUUAUAAAUCAGUCGCCUAAAAAGUGAUACAGAAAUUGUAAAGCGAGUAUAAACAAUGGCACCUCAUACUCAUAAUGUUAUUUAACUAAAACUGAAAAUUGAAAAACUACAUUUAUUAUGAAUUUCAAAAGCUUGAAAGAUUGCACAGGAAGGGUUGAACAAGAAAUAGUGAAAAGUAGCUUACCAUAAAUGCUACAAUAGAGGAUACACAGUUGUUGCGAUUCUGUUCACCAGGACCUGAAACCUCUCUGACUCAUAAAGUCUUCAUCGGACAUCAACAAGUACUCUUUUCUACCGUAACCUGUAUAUCUAGAUCUAGGAGUUAGUUACUAACAAAUUUACUGAUGAACUGUAGAAAAGGGGAUUACUGCUUUGUGAAGAGAGAAAGAAGAAUAGUGUGAUUACAGAAUUCCUUUCAU
rnacentral:lncRNA from 1 species